ACAUCCGGGUGGUGAAUGGACAUUAGACAACAAGACAAAGGACCCCACGGAAUCGCCAAGGAAAGCGCGUGUUCCACACUCCAUGAAAAGCCGCGUGGGUAUCAGAGACUAAAAACUUGGAUAACGAGAUGUGGAGGGGACUGGUGUAGAGAGGAGCCAAGUCACUCAAACGAAAGCUUCAUAAGGAAAAAAUGGGAUUACCUAAACAGAGAGAUUUCAUUUCAGCUCUUCAAGAUUCAACGCUUUUUGGAGUCGAAGAGAAGAAUCCGCUCGAUCGAUUUCUCAUUCCAGUCUCUUCAAGAUUCAACGCUUUUUGGAGUCCAAGGGAAGAAUCCGCUCGAUCGAUUACUCAGUCCAGUGUAUGUUCAUGAUUUCUUCCAUUUAUUUCCCUUCUGCAAACAAAUUUCACUUGAAAAUCUCUGAAAAAACAGCCUGAAUUUCAUACUUCCAGUCUCUGCAUAUCUUUUCAUUUGAACCGUACUGAACAAUUCUGCAUUAUUCCGAGUUUUUGAUGAGUGAAGAAGCACCGAUUCUUAGAAUAUGAUAUUGAUUUCUCAUUCCAGUGUUUCUGAUUCUGAUUCUAAAUGCCAAAAAGAGAGCGAUUACUGUAAAGAAGUAGAGGAUUUUACUGAGUUUCUUUCCCCAGCGACUCAUCCGAAACCACAAGAACAGAAUGUGGGCUCUUUCCCCAUAUCCAAAUCUCUCACUUAAUAAAGGAUUUUCUAAAGUUUCAGCAUCAGCUCAGAUUACAAUUUCUCCCAAGGACACAAUUUUCCCACUGCCAAAUUGGAGGAUAGGGAAAGGCGAUCAGAAGAGUAGAGAGCUUAGACUAAACGAUGCUUUUUUUCACUUAGAGUUCAUGAUUGAGAAUGGCCAAAAGCCUGAUGAAUUCCACGCAACACGGUUACUGUAUGAUCUCUGCAAGGCAU